CUGAGGGCAGACACAAGCAAGAGCCCUCAGGAUGCUGCUGCUUCGUCUCCUGGCCCUGGCAGCAGCCUGGUCUCAUGGACAAGCACAAAUGUUUCUAAAGCAGAGACAAGUGUCCAUUACCAGAGGGCACAAGACAGCUGCAUCAAUGGACUGUAUAGCUGAGGGUUUUUCUGAUUUCCAGAGCUUAUAUAUACAUUGGUACCGACAAAGACCCUCCAGAGCUCCAGAAUGGAUUCUGUACAUCGGCCCCCAUGCAGCUUUUUACGAUGACAGUUCGUACAGCAACAAGUAUUCCUCUUUUAAGAGAGGUACAAACAUCUGCACUUUCACAAUCAAUGACAUCAACUCCAAUGAUGAAGGUACCUACUACUGUGCCUACUGGCAUUUCCACAGAACUUGCAGGUGACAGGCGGUCUGUACAG